GUGCAAGCCUCCAGUGUGCUUGGGUCCGAAGUGACCCUGUGCAUUCCCGCAGUGCUGGUGAGAACAAGAUGAAACAGUUUGAGGCCUCGCCCUGCUCCAUCCAGAGCAAGGUUAUAAGUUCCAGACCAUC